CUCCCCACAGUGGUGAGCAAUGCCAGGGCAGGGACAGACACUUCUCCCAUGUAUGCCCAAUCCAGAGCCCUAGGCAAUCAAAGGCACUUUUGUGUUCUCCAAGGAACCUUAGGAUCUCCAGGGAAGACACUGUGAAGGAGGCGAUCCAGAUAAGUGGACAUGAGUAUCCAAUUAGUAGGAGUCCUACAAUAUUGUGUCUCUAAAUCAGUGUCUCAUGAAUUUGGAAAGUGGCCCUCCAUACUUCAGAGCUAGCACAUACUGGAGUGCUCCUUGGAGGCAAGGGAGUUCCCAAAUUGCAAGGCUAAGGACUCACAUGCUGGACUAAGUUGUCCUCCUAGUGGUCACUUCAUGAGGCCCACAUGGGCCACCAGCCGGCCACAUUAAAAAAAUCAUAUCCUACAUCUUCCAUUCUAUAAGACAGCCUAUUUACUUAAGAUGUUUCUUAGACUCUUCUCCUUUGGGGACUGGCUAAUGUUACAGUAGAUGGAUGGGUCUGACCUACCCAGAUCUUCCUCUAACUGUAGAUUUUUCAAAUUCAUCAAAGAACAAGAGAGUUGGGUACUUUCUUAAAUGCAUUGAACCACUUGGUGGCCCCUAUCUAGUAGUUGGGUAUCAAUGAAGAAACCAUGACAAGACAUGUUUGGACACGAGCAAGAAUCCUUCAUUCAUGCUGCACACACAGGCUUUACCAUCCAUUUGUAUCAGUAUCAUCCAUGACCUGAAAACAGCAUUACUUCACGGACGCCACAAUUUUUCAGUUACAAUUUAAAAAUCAACACUCACAAGAGGGGAAAUUGUGUUAGUCUCUCAUAUGCAGAGAAUAAGCCAUAAUUUCCUUGAAGUUUUACCCGUGGGUUAUAGAGAAUGUAGGUUUUAAAAUAUUUGCCUGUAUCUGAGUAGAAACAAUCUUACUCCUCAGUGCAUGCUCUUAAAAAAAAAAAAAUAACCUUAUUUGGACUCUAUUCUGCCUUCUAAGACAACAACUAUCACUUCUCCUUCCCUACUUUGCCCUCUUCUCUCUGUCAAAUGUCUUUUAUCACAAAGAAAUUGCAAGGCUUCGGGUCAUACUCAGCUUUUCCCUUGGUUUCAGUAGGGCUCCUUGGUGAACACAUACCCUGUUAUGAUUAAAAACAUUUGCCAGCUCAAAAUGUCUUCUCCAAGCCCCUCUAUAAAAGAAUAUUAAAAUCAAGGCUCGUGCUGUUAUGAGUUUCUGGAACAACAGUCCCAGAGGCAACAGCUGCUCUUUCUUAUUGUUGUAACAGCAACUCUCUUGGCAGCACUGAGAUGGGCUUUUAUAACUUCCCUGGAGGGAACCCACUGAAGUUCAAGUGAUCCCCACCAAUUCCUGACCUCUGUGUGAUCCAGAAGACUCCCUGCCAGCCACCAGCUAGCUAUGCAAUGUGGGGCCCAUGAGCCCCUCCUCCAAUGAACUACACAAGAAGGAAAUGAAAAAGAGAGAGAAAGAGAGCUCUCCAAGAGCCUGGACAGCAUUCCUCUGUAUCUAAUGGCCCUCCUCUGAGGCAGCUGCUUCCUUCAGGCAUGACUUCCCAUCUGGAUACUGGGAAGGCCUUAGGUCAGUCGUCAGCACUUUGCACCAGAGAUACUCAUGAGUUUUAACCUCCAAAGGAACAAGGCAAGAAUCCUCUUUGCUGAAGAGACUCCACAAGAGAACAAAAAUGGAGCUUUUGGGGAAGAAGCCUGACCUGACAGGUCUCUGGUUUGCUAAGGAGACAGCAGCACCACUUGCAGGUUAGUGUGGCCCCGGGGAAGCAGAGGUUACAAUGCAGAAGGGUCCAGAUGCAUCAGUCCCAUCCGGAUGACAAUCUUUUGAGACACAGCCCCCGUAGCUCCCCAUUGCCAUGAGAAGUGCAUAAGACUUGUCAACAGCGUGUCAGUCCCUUUGGACAGCUCCAGGGUCUUCGCCUCAUCAUUGUGACACAGAACAUCCAUUAAAUUUAUCUGUACACCAAGA